UUGAACGCUGGCGGAAUGCUUUACACAUGCAAGUCGAACGGCAGCACGGGAGCUUGCUCCUGGUGGCGAGUGGCGAACGGGUGAGUAACAUAUCGGAACGUACCCAGUCGUGGGGGAUAACUAUCCGAAAGGAUAGCUAAUACCGCAUACGUCCUGAGGGAGAAAGCGGGGGAUCGCAAGACCUCGCGCGAUUGGAGCGGCCGAUAUCGGAUUAGCUAGUUGGUGGGGUAAAGGCUCACCAAGGCGACGAUCCGUAGCGGGUCUGAGAGGACGACCCGCCACACUGGAACUGAGACACGGUCCAGACUCCUACGGGAGGCAGCAGUGGGGAAUUUUGGACAAUGGGGGCAACCCUGAUCCAGCCAUUCCGCGUGAGUGAAGAAGGCCUUCGGGUUGUAAAGCUCUUUCAGCAGGAACGAAACGGUCGGCUUUAAUAAAAUCGGCUAAUGACGGUACCUGCAGAAGAAGCACCGGCUAACUACGUG
rnacentral:rRNA from 1 species